rnacentral:rRNA from 1 species
UACGGGAGGCAGCAGUGGGGAAUAUUGGACAAUGGGCGAAAGCCUGAUCCAGCUAUGCCGCGUGUAUGAAGAAGGCCUUAGGGUUGUAAAGUACUUUCAUCGGGGAGGAAAAAACAAAACUAAUAAUUUUAUUUCUUGACGUUACCCGAAAAAGAAGCACCGGCUAACUCCGUGCCAGCAGCCGCGGUAAUACGGAGGGUGCUAGCGUUAAUCAGAAUUACUGGGCGUAAAGAGCACGUAGGUGGUUUUUUUAAAGUCAGAUGUGAAAUCCCUGGGCUUAACCUAGGAACUGCAUUUUGAAACUGAAAUACUAGAGUAUCGUAGAGGGAGGUAGAAUUCUAGGUGUAGCGGUGAAAUGCGUAGAUAUCUGGAGGAAUACCUGUGGCGAAAGCGGCCUCCUAAACGAAUACUGACACUGAGGGUGCGAAAGCGUGGGGAGCAAACAGGGAUUAGAUACC